CUUUGCUAGCAAUUUUGCUACGCUUCAUAAAUAAGUUGAAAUCCAGCAUAAAUUUUCUCUUUAAAAUGCCUUUUUUCAGCAUGAAGAAAGCUACUCGUACUAUGUUCCAGAAUUUUUUUGCUAUGAUUGGCAAAUUUUGAUCCAUUUUUUCUUUAAGGAUUUGGUUCGAAUCAGAAAGCUAGAAUUUUUGAUAGAUUAUUUGAUGCUUUGAGAGAGAGAUACGAGAAAAGAAAUGUUUUUGAUUUGCUGGA
rnacentral:lncRNA from 1 species